rnacentral:snRNA from 1 species
AUAAUGUGCAUUGAUUAAAGAAA